GACGAACGCUGGCGGCGUGCCUAAUACAUGCAAGUAGAACGCUGAAGAGAGGAGCUUGCUCUUCUUGGCUGAGUUGCGAACGGGUGAGUAACGCGUAGGUAACCUGCCUUGUAGCGGGGGAUAACUAUUGGAAACGAUAGCUAAUACCGCAUAACAAUGGAUGACACAUGUCAUUUAUUUGAAAGGGGCAAUUGCUCCACUACAAGAUGGACCUGCGUUGUAUUAGCUAGUAGGUGAGGUAAUGGCUCACCUAGGCGACGAUACAUAGCCGACCUGAGAGGGUGAUCGGCCACACUGGGACUGAGACACGGCCCAGACUCCUACGGGAGGCAGCAGUAGGGAAUCUUCGGCAAUGGGGGCAACCCUGACCGAGCAACGCCGCGUGAGUGAAGAAGGUUUUCGGAUCGUGAAGCUCUGUUGUAAGUCAAGAACGGGUGUGAGAGUGGAAAGUUCACACUGUGACGGUAGCUUACCAGAAAGGGACGGCUAACUACGUG
rnacentral:rRNA from 1 species